AGGCCAUGGAUGGCAGUGGUGAAGCUUUAUGUGCUGGGGAAGCUGGUGGCAUUUCUAAUGGCCAGACAGUAAUAGCAGGAGGCAUGGGUGGAUGCAUUGUGAAAAAGAACGGCGUCCAACGGGUGAAGAGGUCUGAGCCCCCCGUGGCUGAGAUGGUGCAGCUUCAGCAGGAGUGAUGCCUGGCUGCCCUUCUGGAUGCCCUGG